rnacentral:lncRNA from 1 species
UCGCCGAAGCUUCUUCAGGACAAUUGACUGCAUCCAUCAUCUGUGUCUUCUCCACCAAAGUUUCCUUUGCCAAAAGCCUCUUUGGUGGAGCUUUCACCACAGCCUCCAAUGGGAAAACCGUAGCCUCGACAAUCAAAAGGAGCUUUUCAUCUCCCACAAUCGUGGUAGCUAGUUUAAUGGCCGAAAUCUUCACAUCGCC